rnacentral:rRNA from 1 species
UGAUCCUGGCUCAGGACGAACGCUGGCGGCAGGCUUAACACAUGCAAGUCGAACGAGCUCUUCGGAGCGAGUGGCAGACGGGUGCGUAACACGUGGGAACCUACCUUAAGGUACGGAAUAACAUCGAGAAAUCGUUGCUAAUACCGUAUGUGCCCUUCGGGGGAAAGAUUUAUCGCCUUAAGAUGGGCCCGCGGCGAUUAGCUAGUUGGUGGGGUAACGAAGCCUACCAAGGCGACGAUCCGAGCUGGCUGAGAGGCAUGAUCAGCCACACUGGGACAUGAGACACGGCCCAGACUCCUACGGGAGGCAGCAGUGGGGAAUAUUGGGCAAUGGGCGAAAGCCUGACCCAGCCAUGCCGCGUGAGUGAUGAAGGCCUUAGGGUUGUAAACUCUUUCGCCGGUGAAGAUAAUGACGGUAACCGGUAAAAAGCCCCGGCUAAUUUCGUGCCAGCAUGCCGCGGUAAUACGAAAGGGGCUAGCGUUGUUCGGAAUUACUGGGCGUAAAGCGCGCGUA